rnacentral:rRNA from 1 species
AUUGAACGCUGGCGGCAGGCCUAACACAUGCAAGUCGAGCGAGCGGCGGACGGGUGAGUAAUGUAUGGGGACUGCCCGAUAGAGGGGGAUAACUACUGGAAAAGGUGGCUAAUACCGCAUAUUGUCGGAUAACACAACGGGGAUUAGCUAGUAGGUAAGGUAAUGGCUUACCUAGGCGACGAUCCCUAGCUGGUCUGAGAGGCUGAUCCGCCACACUGGGACUGAGACACGGCCCAGACUCCUACGGAGGCAGCAGUGGGGAAUAUUGCACAAUGGGCGCAAGCCUGAUGCAGCCAUGCCGCGUGUAUGAAGAAGGCCCUAGGGUUGUAAAGUACUUUCAGUCGGGAGGCGUUACCGACAGAAGAAGCACCGGCUAACUCCGUGCCAGCCGCCGCGGUAAUUC